UCCUGUGUUGCGUGCCUAACGUUGAUGGAAGUUGACCUCGGAUGAGUCCCUAAUUUUUGCUUCUCACCAAUUUGUGGUGUUAGGUUGACGUGAAAGUACUACCCAUUCUCCUUGAAUGCUUCGCCCUUUUGCGUUGCAAUCAAGGCCCAUGGGUUGCUACUCGGUCCCUCGGAUGCAGAACCUUUGAAGGGUGCACAGUAUGUUGCUGUUGUUUACCCACAAAGCGUUCAUCGAUCGAUGCGUAGGACGGCUGUGCUCGUCUUGGUCCCCUCUCUAACUAGUUUAGACGGGGCUCAUGCGGUGCCGGCGUCGCGAAGGAAUGCUACCUGGUUGAUCCUGCCAGUAGUCAUAUGCUUGUCUC
rnacentral:misc_RNA from 1 species